UACAUGGGGUGCAAACGUUGCUCGGAAUUAUUGGGCGUAAAGCGCGCGUAGGCGGUUAUCUAAGUCGGAUGUGAAAGCCCUCGGCUUAACUGAGGAAGUGCACCCGAAACUGGGUAGCUAGAGUACGAAAGAGGGUCGCGGAAUUCCCGGUGUAGAGGUGAAAUUCGUAGAUAUCGGGAGGAACACCGGUGGCGAAGGCGGCGACCUGGGUCGAUACUGACGCUGAGGCGCGAAGGCCAGGGGAGCAAACGGG
rnacentral:rRNA from 1 species